UUCUAUGGUGUUGCAAUGAAUUUCUAGCAGGAAGAUAAAUGGAGUGGAAGUAAGCCUUUGAGAAUAAUCUAGUAGCUAACGGCCGAGAUGCUGGAAGGAUAUCCCUACUUUCUAAGAUUAUCUUAAUGGAGGUAGAAAUCUCUAAACAAUUACAAAGCCUUGAAAUGGAGGAGGUACAUCUUUCUUUUGCAAAUGACUCUUUCCAAGCUACCACCACUUAAUUUCACAUAUUUCGUUUUCGUUACUGUUGUAGUUGAUAAAAAUGGGGUGAGGUUUGUUUUUCUAGAUUGAAGAAAGAAUGGAGAAAGUUUCUGGUGUAUGGGAUGAGGUAUAUUGUGACGCUUGAGAAGCUAGAAAACUCAGGUCUGAAGGAAAUGGAAGGGGUGGGGAGCUGGAAAGAACAGGCCAAACCAUGUUAUGCAUAUAUUAAAUAUAUAAUGGAGCUGGGAUCUGGCCCUUUCUACACCAUAGUCCUUUGUACCAUGGGUGAAGUCCUUUGAGUUCUCCUGACUCAAAAUCUUCAUGUUUUUUUCUUUCAUCUUCAUUCGUUACAUUGCAUUUUAAUCCUAUUAUAGAAGUAUAACUCGAUUCCAUUUCAUCUGUACUUUGUCUUCUUCACUAGAUUAUGUGACCUUUUUCAAGCCACUUUCAUAGCCAUAACAAAAGUUGAGUCAAAGUUGCUCUCCACUCAAAGGUCUCAAUUCCCAUAUCUAUCUAUACAAAGAAAUUCACAGGACAAAGGAGAACUUAUUUGUACAUAUGGUAUUUUGAACUAUGAACGAACAUGCAGAAAUUAAGGAUUCUUUUUAAUUUUGAGUUAUUUUGCAGGAUCAUUUAGGAUCUUUGCUCUCUUCCGGAGGUGACAAAAAUAUGGGAUCAUUUCUUAUGGACUUGUUGAGAAUGGUUCUCCUCUAGAGAACUUGGCACAAUUAAAGCUAGCUGUAAUAAUGCCCAUCAGCACAUCAAUCUUAUGUACUGAAGUUAGAUGGAUGAGAAGGCUUCAGAAGAUGAUAAGAAGGCAGUGAUGUAGGCCAUGCCCAGAUUGCAACCAAAG
rnacentral:lncRNA from 1 species